rnacentral:rRNA from 1 species
AAUGAACGCUAGCGAUAUGCUUAACACAUGCAAGUCUAACGGAGAAAUCCGUGGCAUACGGGUGAGUAAUACGUAGGAACCUACCUUAAAGUUAGGUAUAAUUAUAUCGUAUCUAAAUAUAGAUAUGAGAAGAUGACUCUUUACCUUAGUGGGAGAGUAAUCAUAAUAAUCCCUAAUAAAAAAAGAUUAAUCGCUAUAAGAUGGGCCUGCGCAGGAUUAGGUAGUUGGUAGGGUAAAAGCCUACCAAGCCAAUGAUCCUUAGCUGGUCUGAGAGGAUGAUCAGCCACAAUGGGACUGAGAUACGGCCCAUCCCCUAUAGGGGGCAGCAGUGGGGAAUAUUGGACAAUGGGCGAAAGCCUGAUCCAGCAAUAUCGAGUGAGUGAAGAAGUCCAUUUGACUAUAAAACUCUUUCAUCAAGGAUGAUAAUGACAUUAGUUGAAUAAGAAGCCCCGGCCAACUCCGUGCCAGCAGCCGCAGUAAAAC